UGGCCCGCGGGCCAGAGUUUGACACCUAUGGGUUAUAUUAUCUUUAUUUGUUUUUCAUUGUAAAUAUAGUAAAAGCUAUAAAGAAACAGAUUUCUUGCUUUAGAGUCAGAGUCCUCGCCAGGUGGGUGGGUGGCCUUCGGAGGACUUCUUGUAGCCACAUUAGUGUUGGCUGCAUUGGGAGUGAUGUACUACAGAAAGAAAGUGAGGAACGCCCAAUCAGGAAGAGACCAAAUUGAUGGGAACGGCUUAAGUGAGACUGAAAAACUUUUAGCAGGAGGUAAGACGUUACUAAAGCCGUCCUUGUUCUUAGAAUCACUGUGACACAUGAAGGUUAUGUCAU